AUACGGAGGAUCCAAGCGUUAUCCGGAAUCAUUGGGUUUAAAGGGUCCGUAGGCGGGUUUAUAAGUCAGUGGUGAAAGUUUGCGGCUCAACCGUAAAAUUGCCAUUGAUACUGUAGAUCUUGAAUUAGUGUGAAGUGAUUAGAAUAAGUAGUGUAGCGGUGAAAUGCAUAGAUAUUACUUAGAAUACCAAUUGCGAAGGCAGGUCACUAACACUAUAUUGACGCUGAGGGACGAAAGCGUGGGGAGCGAACAGGAUUAGAAACCCUAGUAGUCC
rnacentral:rRNA from 1 species